AGUAAAAUGAAGAUGAUGCAUCGGGAAUGGUCGGGAUAGCUCAGC
rnacentral:tRNA from 1 species